rnacentral:misc_RNA from 1 species
CCGAGUUUACAACUCCCAAGCCCCUGUGAACAUACCUAUCGUUGCUUCGGCGGGAUGCCCCAGGGCUGUGACGCAGCUGGAUCCAGGCGCUCGCCUAGGAACCUAACUCUUGUUUUAUUUAUGGAAUCUUCUGAGUAGUACAAAUAAAUUA